rnacentral:misc_RNA from 1 species
AUUAGAAAUUCUGAAGAUCUAAAACUUAAAAAUUAAAUAAGAUCUUAAUUUAAUUACAAUUAUAUGUGGGACCCUGCUUUAUUAAUUGUUUAAACAAACUAUGGAGAAUACAAUUGCAGAGAUACAUUCUAGUGGCUUUUGAACUACUAUUAGGUUCUUCAUAGAGAAUAAGAAGAAAUUCAGGCUGUAAGAAAUUUGUAACAAGACAUAAAAUAUUAUAAUUGUUGUCAAUCAUAUAGUUGAUUGUUUCAGAAGGUUCAAGCGGUAAAGAAUGAAACUUUAUCAAAUUUGAAGCUUUAGUAAUGAUAAAGAUUGAUAUUCUAAUAAACUGUAAUAAGUAUAAGAACAGGAAC